rnacentral:rRNA from 1 species
CCUACGGGGGGCAGCAGUGAGGAAUAUUGGUCAAUGGUCGGGAGACUGAACCAGCCAAGCCGCGUGAGGGAUGAAGGUACAGAGUAUCGUAAACCUCUUUUGUCAGGGAACAAAGGCGGGGACGCGUCCCCGGAUGAGUGUACCUGAAGAAAAAGCAUCGGCUAACUCCGUGCCAGCAGCCGCGGUAAUACGGAGGAUGCGAGCGUUAUCCGGAUUUAUGGGGUUUAAAGGGGGCGCAGGCGGUCUGUUAAGUCAGCGGUCAAAGCCCGGGGCUCAACCCCGGCCCGCCGUUGAAACUGGCAGUCUCGAGUUGGAGAGAAGUAUGCGGAAUGCGCGGUGUAGCGGUGAAAUGCAUAGAUAGCGCGCAGAACUCCGAUUGCGAAGGCAGCAUGCCGGCUCCACACUGACGCUGAGGCACGAAAGCGUGGGUAUCGAACAGGAUUAGAUACCCUGGUAGUC